rnacentral:rRNA from 1 species
AACGAACGCUGGCGGCAGGCUUAACACAUGCAAGUCGAGCGCCCCGCAAGGGGAGCGGCAGACGGGUGAGUAACGCGUGGGAAUCUACCUUUUGCUACGGAAUAACUCAGGGAAACUUGUGCUAAUACCGUAUGUGCCCUUCGGGGGAAAGAUUUAUCGGCAAAGGAUGAGCCCGCGUUGGAUUAGCUAGUUGGUGGGGUAAAGGCCCACAAAGGCGACGGUCCAUAGCUGGUCGGAGAGGAUGAUCAGCCACACUGGGACUGAGACACGGCCCAGACUCCCACGGGAGGCAGCAGUGGGGAAUGUUGGACAAUGGGCGCAAGCCUGAUCCAGCCAUGCCGCGUGAGGGAAGAAGGUCUUCGGAUCGUAAACCUUUGUCUUUGGGGAAGAUAAUGACGGUACCCAAGGAGGAAGCCCCGGCUAACUUCGUGCCAGCCGCCGCGGUAAAAC